UACGUAGGGGGCGAGCGUUGUUCGGAAUUACUGGGCGUAAAGGGCGCGCAGGCGGCUCGGCCCGUCAGCUGUGAAAGCCCCGGGCUUAACCUGGGAACUGCAUUUGAUACUACUGAGCUUGAGUACGGGAGAGGAUAGUGGAAUUCCCAGUGUAGAGGUGAAAUUGGUAGAUAUUGGGAAGAACACCGGUGGCGAAGGCGGCUAUCUGGACCGUAACUGACGCUGAGGCGCGAAAGCGUGGGGAGCAAACAGG
rnacentral:rRNA from 1 species